rnacentral:rRNA from 1 species
UCCGUUCAAAGGUAGUGUAAUUCCUGCCUAUUAAUUGUAGGCCAAUGAAAGGAUUGACGGGCUAAAAUUGUCUCGUUUAUGGGGAUAGAAGUUAACUUUGUGGUGAAGAGGCCACAAUGUGUUAAAGGGACGAGAAGACCCUGUCAAACUUUAGUAUAGGGUGAAACAUGUAUUAAUUGCAGUAAGUUUCACUUAAUAUUUUAGUUGGGGCAACUGAG